rnacentral:rRNA from 1 species
UACGAAGGGGGCUAGCGUUGCUCGGAAUCACUGGGCGUAAAGGGUGCGUAGGCGGGUUUUUAAGUCAGGGGUGAAAUCCUGGAGCUCAACUCCAGAACUGCCUUUGAUACUGAAGAUCUUGAGUCCGGGAGAGGUGAGUGGAACUGCGAGUGUAGAGGUGAAAUUCGUAGAUAUUCGCAAGAACACCAGUGGCGAAGGCGGCUCACUGGCCCGAUACUGACGCUGAGGCACGAAAGCGUGGGGAGCAAACGGG